AUAGUCAUAAAACUUGCAUUUGAACUUUAUAUUUUUUCAAGUGCAAUUUUUCUAAGUUAUUUAAAUUUAAUUUUUUGAUUAAGCUAUUUUAAAUCUUUAUCUUAUUUUUAUCCUUUCAUUUUUUCAUUGUCUGGUACCGACGAUACCAACAGCUAAUAUCGAUGACCGAGAAUUCUAGAAAGAUAAUAAAAAUAAAUAUUGCUUAACCACUAAUUUGAUUUGAAAAAAAGCUUAGGUAGAAGUCGACAGAAAGAACUGAAAAUCGAAUUUGAAUAACAGAAUUGAACUAAUAAUCCGAGGGAAAAUGUAUAAAGCAACUAUUUUUCAUUAGAAGAAAUAUGGAUAGAAUUUAAAUUCAUUUCUUUUCAUAUAAAGUUAUCUGAGUAACAGCUUGGAAAGUUCUCUGCUCUUACUGUAAGAAUUCGGAUUCGAUUUCUGAUAGAAAUUGUCUCCUUGAAGAAAUUUGUUGUUGUUGUUGUUGUUGCUUCUAUAAGGCAUUUUAAACGGAUAAGAAUUAAACUAACUUGUAAGUAUUACAUAUCGUGGCCGAGGGAGUAAAAACGCUCGAGUGUCAUUCUAAGGUUUGGGUUUGCAAACAAAUUGGAAUGUUUCGUAACUAACUUAGCCGUAUGUAUUCACCAGGCUUUAUUCCACAUAACUUUCUGAUACCACCGCAAAUCAGACUUGAAAUCGUAGCAGCUGGUCCUCACACUCAAUGGAGUCAGUUGGGUAAUGCAAAACGAUGGUAUAGCCUAGUAUCAUAAUUUUCAAUUAUGUUUCGUGUGAACAAAUUGAUCUAUAUCAUGUUUAAAAGAAACACUUCAGAAAUUUUACACAAAGUAAACAUCCAAUAAUCUCUAAAUCCUAAGAGAUUGCCAUUUCAUAUAAUAAAUAACAACUUUAUCAGACAGUAUUUUUAGUUGCUAAAUAUUAUAUGAUACCUCAAGUCCCCUUCUCACCAUAUGG